UACAUUUUAGGGCCAUAGGAAUAUCAAUAUAUUUCAACGCUUGGGCGUUUUUCCUUCACUUAGUCUCUUCUUCUGGUGCUUCGCGAUCUUACAUCUUUCAUUUUGUCUCUUAUUGUUUUUUGUUCGCAUCGUUUCCUAAUUUUGAUAUUGGGUCGAUCGAUCAAUCGAUCCUGUGAUCUGAUUGUUUGUAUGCCAAAUCCACACGAUGGUUUAAAAGCUCCACACCAUGGACCAACAGCUGUUUUACUGGAGCAAAAGGAGUUGUCACAGAGAGCUGAAACUAACAUCACAUUUGUCGUCGAUAACUUCACGCAAAACCGAAACGUUUCAAGGCUGCUUAUUGAGCUAUACCAAUUUUCUGGAGUUUCUACCUAUUCGGUUUUCUGUCGGUGAGUGAUCCACCGGUGAAGAACUUGCAGGAAACAUACAUGAUGGAUGCGAGCGUCUAGAAUGAUGGACUACAAAAAUAACAUAGAAAUACUGUUUCACGCUUUUCCGCAGUAUAUGUAGAUGAAAAGCUCACUCAUUUGCAAGGUUCAACCACCUGACACCAUUUUGGAAUUCGUAUUGAAACAAAGAAAUGCAGACCAUGGGGAACAAAGAAACGCAAAGUUUGAUUAAGAAGCUGAAAAGAUCAAUCGACUAUUGCCUAGAUGAGAGAACAUUUCUUUUCUGAUCAACUGAUCAUGCUGUCUCGCAGACUUUUAUUUGGAUUUAGGUUGUGGCUGGUCCAUGUGCCCUCGGGUUGGCUAUGCCACCGGCAAUGCUUGUUGGUACAUCAUUAGAAGCAAGAUGAGGAUUACUUCUUCGUGGUGGUGAUAUUCUUGAAAAAAAAUUUUCCAUUGAUUGUUGCCUUUAACAUAACCGGAACACUGACAAAGGGACACCCUCUUGUGACUGAAGUUAUUAUCCUGAAGAUCCAAGUCUGAAAGAUACUGGGUUAGAAGUUCAGGUUUUGAGGUUAGCAGCUGCUGUUGAAUCAAACACUACUCACCCUGUUGUGAAAGGGAUUGUUAAAGCAGCUUGGGCUCAUAAUUAAUGACAUCACUGCAGGCAGAGGAUGGAACAUUUACUGAGGAGCCAGGGCUGCAGUUGGGACCUAAGAGUGGGUCCAGCGGUAUAAUUUGUUCAUCUUUUGCAUAAGUGGUUAGCUAUUGACCAGUUUA